UACGUAGGGUCCAAGCGUUAUCCGGAAUCACUGGGCGUAAAGCGUGCGUAGGUGGCGCGUUAAGUGAGAUGUGAAACCGUGUGGCUCAACCAUACGUUGUGUCUCAUACUGGCGUGCUAGAGGACAGCAGAGGCAAGUGGAAUUACGAGUGUAGCAGUGAAAUGCGUAGAGAUUCGUAGGAACACCAAUGGCGAAGGCAGCUUGCUGGGCUACUCCUGACACUGAGGUACGAAAGCGUGGGGAGCGAACAGG
rnacentral:rRNA from 1 species